rnacentral:rRNA from 1 species
GUACGGGAGGCAGCAGUGGGGAAUUUUCCGCAAUGGGCGAAAGCCUGACGGAGCAAUACCGCGUGAGGGAGGAAGGCUCUUGGGUCGUAAACCUCUUUUCUCAGGGAAGAAGAAAGUGACGGUACCUGAGGAAUCAGCCUCGGCUAACUCCGUGCCAGCAGCCGCGGUAAUACGGAGGAGGCAAGCGUUAUCCGGAAUUAUUGGGCGUAAAGCGUCCGUAGGUGGCUCUUCAAGUCUGCUGUUAAAGAGUGGGGCUUAACCCUGCCAAGGCAGUGGAAACUGAAAGGCUAGAGAGCCGUAGGGGUAGAGGGAAUUCCCGGUGUAGCGGUGAAAUGCGUAGAGAUCGGGAAGAACAUCGGUGGCGAAAGCGCUCUACUGGACGGUAUCUGACACUGAGGGACGAAAGCUAGGGGAGCGAAUGGGAUUAGAUACCCUGGUAGC